CCAAGGAAUGAAAAUCGAUCAAACCAUCCUGAACACAAGCUUUUUUCCAAAUUAAAGAGGUGACAAAAUUUAAGACCAAUAAUUAGUGCAUAUAUUGAAGAACACAGUUAACAGUAUUUCAUGAGUAAAUGUAAAUCAUUGAAAUGAACAAAACGUAUAAACACGGUCCUAAGGGCAUCUCCAAUGUGAACCCCAAAUCACCAAAUUGCACCAUUUGGUGGUGCAAAGUUGCUCCAAUACAACACUAUAUUCUGCACAAAAAUGGUGCAAAGUGGUGAAAGUCUAUUUUGCCAUUUUCUUCUCCUUCCCAAAU
rnacentral:lncRNA from 1 species